rnacentral:rRNA from 1 species
AGUUUGAUCCUGUCUCAGAUUGAACGCUGGCGGCACGCCUUACACAUGCAAGUCUGAGCGGUCAAAAUCGAGGGAGCUUGCUCCCGAAAGACGAGCGGCGAACGGGUGAUGUAACGCGCGGGAACGCCCCCUUAUACUGUCCGACAACCUUGGUAUACCAGGGCUAAUCCCGCAUAAUCUCUACGGAGCACAGCGGGAUAUCUUCGCACCUCGCGCCAUUGGAGCGGCCUGGGUCCAAUUAGUUUAACGCCGGACCAACAGCCCUCCGUGACUACAAUCGGUAGCUGGUCUGAGAGGAUGAUCAGCCACACCGGCACUGAGACACGGCCCGGACUCCUACGGAAGCCAGCAGUGGGGAAUAUUGUACAAUGGGCGCAACCCUGAUCCAGCGAUGCCGCGUGCGUGACGAAGCCCUUCGGGUUGUAAAGCACUUUCGCGGAGGAAGAAACUUCGCGCUCUAUCAUAGCGCUGCACUGACGGUACCCCGAGAAGAAGCGCCGGCUAACUCCGUGCCAGCAGCCGCGGUCAUACGGAGGGCGCACGCGCUAAUCGGAAUGACUGGGCGUUAAGCGUGCUGCAGCGGCCGCGAUAGUCAGAUGUGAUAUCCUNCGGCUCAGCCACGGCACUGCAGUCGAUACUCCGCUGCUCGAGUCCGGCAGAGGAAGUNGUAUGCUGCGUGUAGCUGUGAAUGCGUAGAGAUGCAGUAGACACUAUNGACGAGGCAUCCAUCUAGUCCGCACUGACGCUGAGCACGAAAGCGUGAUAGCAACAGGAUAGAUACAUAGUAGUC